rnacentral:rRNA from 1 species
CCUACGGGAGGCAGCAGUGGGGAAUAUUGCACAAUGGGCGCAAGCUUGAUGCAGCCAUGCCGCGUGUGUGAAGAAGGCCUUCGGGUUGUAAAGCACUUUCAGCGGGGAGGAAGGCGGUGAGGUUAAUAACCUCAUCGAUUGACGUUACCCGCAGAAGAAGCACCGGCUAACUCCGUGCCAGCAGCCGCGGUAAUACGGAGGGUGCAAGCGUUGAUCGGAAUUACUGGGCGUAAAGCGCACGCAGGCGGUCUGUCAAGUCGGAUGUGAAAUCCCCGGGCUCAACCUGGGAACUGCAUUCGAAACUGGCAGGCUAGAGUCUUGUAGAGGGGGGUAGAAUUCCAGGUGUAGCGGUGAAAUGCGUAGAGAUCUGGAGGAAUACCGGUGGCGAAGGCGGCCCCCUGGACAAAGACUGACGCUCAGGUGCGAAAGCGUGGGGAGCAAACAGGAUUAGAUACCCCAGUAGUC